UACGGGGGGGGCAAGCGUUGUUCGGAAUUAUUGGGCGUAAAGGGCUCGUAGGCGGUCAACUAAGUCAGACGUGAAAUCCCUCAGCUUAACUGGGGAACUGCGUCUGAUACUGGAUGGCUUGGAUUCGGGAGAGGAAUGCGGAAUUCCAGGUGUAGCGGUGAAAUGCGUAGAUAUCUGGAGGAACACCGGUGGCGAAGGCGGCAUUCUGGACCGACAUUGACGCUGAGGAGCGAAAGCCAGGGGAGCAAACGGG
rnacentral:rRNA from 1 species